rnacentral:rRNA from 1 species
UAAUUCUAGAGCUAAUACAUGCAGGAAGUCCCGACUUCGGAAGGGAUGUAUUUAUUAGAUAAGAAACCAAUCCGGCUUGCCGGUUGCGUGCUGAGUCACAAUAACUGCUCGAAUCGCAUGGCCUUGCGCCGGCGAUGGUUCAUUCAAAUUUCUGCCCUAUCAACUUUCGAUGGUAGGAUAGUGGCCUACCAUGGUAUCAACGGGUAACGGGGAAUUAGGGUUCGACUCCGGAGAGGGAGCCUGAGAAACGGCUACCACAUCCAAGGAAGGCAGCAGGCGCGUAAAUUAC